rnacentral:rRNA from 1 species
CUACGGGGGGCUCCAGUGGGGAAUAUUGCACAAUGGGCGAAAGCCUGAUGCAGCAACGCCGCGUGAGGGACGACGGCCUUCGGGUUGUAAACCUCUUUUAGCAGGGAAGAAGCGAAAGUGACGGUACCUGCAGAAAAAGCACCGGCUAACUACGUGCCAGCAGCCGCGGUAAUACGUAGGGUGCAAGCGUUGUCCGGAAUUAUUGGGCGUAAAGAGCUCGUAGGCGGUUUGUCGCGUCUGCUGUGAAAAUCCGAGGCUCAACCUCGGACCUGCAGUGGGUACGGGCAAACUAGAGUGCGGUAGGGGAGAUUGGAAUUCCUGGUGUAGCGGUGGAAUGCGCAGAUAUCAGGAGGAACACCAAUGGCGAAGGCAGAUCUCUGGGCCGUAACUGACGCUGAGGAGCGAAAGCGUGGGGAGCGAACAGGAUUAGAUACCCCUGUACUC